rnacentral:lncRNA from 13 species
AAGUCAGGGCCGGAGACCAGAUGGGAAAGGCUCUGUGGACAGCUGUGGCUGAGGGUCUGGGAGGGGACCCAAGCCCGCAGGCAGACUAGAAGUGGGUGCCGUGUGGGGACCCCAGUUAGUGCCCUGGGGCACCUGGGGACUGGGCAGGGAGAGGGGACAGCAGAAUGAUAACCAGCCUGGCGGCAAGGAGGGGAGCCCUCACCCCAUGGGCAGGAUCUUGAGGAUCCGGGGAUGUGGAUCUGAGGCUUCCCCCCGGGGCCAACAUCCCACUUUGGAGCUCUCUCCUUGCUGCACUGCUUGGCGGUUCACAUUUACGGAUGUUCUGGGUCAUGUCCCGGGUCCUGAAGUUAAGAAAGGCAUCAUUCGGGGCCCCUGCAUUCAAGAGCCAGUGUUCUACCAGUCCUCUGAGGAGUCCGCCCCCAGCUUUCAGGCAAGCUUGUGCCAAAGAUAA